GGAGAAAGUGGCAGUCAAGGGCUUCCUGGACUCAGAGGAGAAAAAGGAGAGUCAGGCAGAGCCUAUGGCAGAGGAGAAAAAGGAGAAAAGGAAGCUACUCUGUAGAGGAGAAAACUCUAACCAGGAGCACCCACCUUCUCCUGCAGAGGUGUGGAUGAAGGUUUCAUUACAGAUUACAGUGCUCUAUGGGAGUUCCCUUGAUAAUGUGUUUGCAAGAGUAUCUGAGCUUUCCCUUUGUGCCUUAUCUGUUUCCCUUCAUGCUAAUAACCACAAACGCAGCAAUGAAUAUGAGAAACAACUUUGGAAGAUUAAGUCUAUGUUCUCCUAAAAUGUGUGGGGGGUUUUGUGUUGUUGGAAUUUUUUCAUGGUAAUGACUUGCCCUGAUAAAAAUUCAGGCGGAUUAUUAUAGGAUUUCUAAUGAGAAUAUAAACCUCUGAAGUGGCUUGGCUUAUUAGAGAUGCAGUGACUGCAAGACCAAGCAUAGAAAAGCAGGCAGAUUGUUAAGGCUCUGGACUAUGCUGCAGGAGAUGUGGGCUUUAAACUUGGCUCCAACAGAUUUGCUGACCUUGGGCAAAGCAUCUAGUCUUUGUUCCUGUAAAAUGAAGCUGAAGGUCUCUCUUUCCCUCCAGGCUUUGCAUAUCUUUCCUGCUAUAUCGUUCAAAUAAAGGCCUUGCUUCCCCUUCCCUUAUGUGUCUU
rnacentral:lncRNA from 1 species